UGCUUGUCUCAAAGAUUAAGCCAUGCAUGUCUAAGUAUAAGCACUUUAUACUGUGAAACUGCGAAUGGCUCAUUAAAUCAGUUAUCGUUUAUUUGAUAGUACCUUACUACAUGGAUACCUGUGGUAAUUCUAGAGCUAAUACAUGCUAAAAACCCCGACUUCAGGAAGGGGUGUAUUUAUUAGAUAAAAAACCAACGCCCUUCGGGGCUCCUUGGUGAAUCAUAAUAACUUAACGAAUCGCAUGGCCUUGCGCCGGCGAUGGUUCAUUCAAAUUUCUGCCCUAUCAACUUUCGAUGGUAGGAUAGUGGCCUACCAUGGUGG
rnacentral:rRNA from 1 species